UACGAAGGGGGCUAGCGUUGCUCGGAAUCACUGGGCGUAAAGCGCGUGUAGGCGGCUCUGCAAGUCGGAUGUGAAAUCCCACGGCUCAACCAUGGAAGUGCAUUCGAAACUGCAGGGCUAGAGUCCUGGAGAGGAAGGUGGAAUGCUUGGUGUAGAGGUGAAAUUCGUAGAUAUCAAGCGGAACACCGGUGGCGAAGGCGGCCUUCUGGACAGUGACUGACGCUGAGACGCGAAAGCGUGGGGAGCAAACAGG
rnacentral:rRNA from 1 species